rnacentral:rRNA from 1 species
GCCAAACAGCUAGCCUCACCACCAAGCCUAACCCAACAACAUAAAUAAUGAAACAUAAUUUAACACAAUAAAUUAAACCAUUUUCCUCAUCUCAGUACGGGAGACAGAAAAGAUUCAAGAAGAGCAAUAGAGAAAGUACCGCAAGGGAAAGAUGAAAGAGAAAUGAAACAACUCAUAUAAGCACAACAAAACAGGGGUAUAACCCCGUACCUUUUGCAUCAUGGUUUAGCCAGCAUCGCUUAAGCAAAGAGACCUUUAGUUUAAUACCCCGAAACCAGGUGAGCUACCCCGAGGCAGUCUAUGUAUAUAGGACUAACCCGUCUCUGUGGCAAAAGAGUGGGAGGACCUCCGGGUAGGGGUGACAGACCUAUCGAACCUGGUUAUAGCUGGUUGCCCGGGAAAUGAAUACAAGUUCAGCCUAGUGCACUCCGUAUUUAAAAAAUCUUUAAAAUUUAGGAAAAAACACUAGAGUUAGUCAAAAGGGGUACAGCCCCUUUGACAAAGGACACAACCUUAACAGGAGAAUAAAGAUCACAGCACGCAAAACUAAUUGUUUUGGUGGGCCUAAAAGCAGCCAUCCAGCCAGAAAGCGUUAAAGCUCGAACAAGAAAAAGUUAACUAUACCGAUAAAAAAAUCUUAAUUCCCUAGAAAUACCGGACCGCCCCAUGCCUGCAUGGGAGAGAUAAUGCUAAAAUGAGUAACAAGAAGACCAGACCUUCUCCUAGCACAAGUGUAAGUUGGACCGGACCAACCACCGACAAAUAACGGACCCAAAAAAAGAGGGGAUUGUGGCCUACAAAAUAAUCAAGAAAACCCCACAAUUACUACCGUUACCCCCACACUGGUGUGCACCCCAGGAAAGACUAAAAGGAAGGAAAGGAACUCGGCAAACACAAGCCUCGCCUGUUUACCAAAAACAUCGCCUCCUGCAAUAUAACAGUAUAGGAGGUCCAGCCUGCCCAGUGACUAUUAGUUUAACGGCCGCGGUAUUCUGACCGUGCAAAGGUAGCGUAAUCACUCGUCCUUUAAAUGGGGUCAAGUAUGAAAGGCUAAACGAGGGCUUAGCUGUCUCCCCUUCCAAGUCAGUGAAAUUGAUCUAUCCGUGCAGAAGCGGGUAUAGAAAUACAAGACGAGAAGACCCUUUGGAGCUUUAGGUACAAGGCUUAACCACAUCAGACAAGUUAAUAAAAACAAAAACCCCUGUGGAAUCUAAGACUCUUCCUUCGGUUGGGGCGACCACGGAGAAAAACUAAACCUCCAAGUGGACUGGGGAAACCCCUAGAACCAAGAGAUACACCUCUAAGUCACAGAAAUGCUGACCAAAGAUGAUCCGGCCACAAAGCCGAUCAACGAACCAAGUUACCCUAGGGAUAACAGCGCAAUCCUCUCCCAGAGCCCAUAUCGACGAGGGGGUUUACGACCUCGAUGUUGGAUCAGGACAUCCUAAUGGUGCAGCCGCUAUUAAGGGUUCGUUUGUUCAACGAUAAAAGUCCUACGUGAUCUGAGUUCAGACCGGAGUAAUCCAGGUCAGUUUCUAUCUGUAAAGCUAUUUCUUCCCAGUACGAAAGGACAGGAAAAAGGAGGCCUAUGCUUGAGGCACGCCUCACCCCAAAUUGAUGACCACAAAUAAAUCAAGCAAAGGAAAGCUAAAAGCCAGACCCCAGAUAAGGGUU